ACACCCACGCUUCCCCUCGCUGGGCUGGGAAGGAGAGCUUUGCGGGUUUAGACUGCAGUCUCCCCCGCCCCUAGCCACCUGUGUGCCGGCUCCGCAGACGAGGUCCCCCCAGCACCCUGGCAGGGACCGUGCCAUCAACAGACAAAUGGCAGCCGACCAAGGAGGCGACUGGCGUGGGGAACAGAGAGAAGGUGUUCAAGGAGAAAGAGGCGGCGUGACGAGACGCGUUUACCCACGGCUCGUAUACGCGACCAUAUGCCAGCAGGUUUCAGCGAAGUCCGGCAGGCGCCGGGAUUCCGUUUUUCCGAGAAAGCCCGUGCAGUAGCCCGGGUGCCCGGACCCGCUCGUCUCCCAAGCCGGUUCCCACACUCGCUGCCCAGCGCCUGGCGAGGAAGGAGCGGGCGAGGUUCCCGCGAGUCGCCGUCACGGGUUUCCGAGGGUACCGUUACGACUCGUUACAUAAUAUUAAACAAUUAAGAUUUAAAAAUGG